rnacentral:rRNA from 1 species
ACGAACGCUGGCGGCGUGGAUAAGACAUGCAAGUCGAACGAGAGAAUUGCUAGCUUGCUAAUAAUUCUCUAGUGGCGCACGGGUGAGUAACACGUGAGUAACCUGCCCCCGAGAGCGGGAUAGCCCUGGGAAACUGGGAUUAAUACCGCAUAGUAUCGAAAGAUUAAAGCAGCAAUGCGCUUGGGGAUGGGCUCGCGGCCUAUUAGUUAGUUGGUGAGGUAACGGCUCACCAAGGCGAUGACGGGUAGCCGGUCUGAGAGGAUGUCCGGCCACACUGGAACUGAGACACGGUCCAGACACCUACGGGUGGCAGCAGUCGAGAAUCAUUCACAAUGGGGGAAACCCUGAUGGUGCGACGCCGCGUGGGGGAAUGAAGGUCUUCGGAUUGUAAACCCCUGUCAUGUGGGAGCAAAUUAAAAAGAUAGUACCACAAGAGGAAGAGACGGCUAACUCUGUGCCAGCAGCCGCGGUAAUACAGAGGUCUCAAGCGUUGUUCGGAAUCACUGGGCGUAAAGCGUGCGUAGGCUGUUUCGUAAGUCGUGUGUGAAAGGCGCGGGCUCAACCCGCGGACGGCACAUGAUACUGCGAGACUAGAGUAAUGGAGGGGGAACCGGAAUUCUCGGUGUAGCAGUGAAAUGCGUAGAUAUCGAGAGGAACACUCGUGGCGAAGGCGGGUUCCUGGACAUUAACUGACGCUGAGGCACGAAGGCCAGGGGAGCGAAAGGGAUUAGAUACCCCUGUAGUCCUGGCAGUAAACGGUGCACGCUUGGUGUGCGGGGAAUCGACCCCCUGCGUGCCGGAGCUAACGCGUUAAGCGUGCCGCCUGGGGAGUACGGUCGCAAGAUUAAAACUCAAAGAAAUUGACGAGGACCCGCACAAGCGGUGGAGUAUGUGGCUUAAUUCGAUGCAACGCGAAGAACCUUACCUGGGCUUGACAUGUAAUGAACAACAUGUGAAAGCAUGCGACUCUUCGGAGGCGUUACACAGGUGCUGCAUGGCCGUCGUCAGCUCGUGUCGUGAGAUGUUUGGUUAAGUCCAGCAACGAGCGCAACCCCUGUUGCCAGUUACCAGCACGUGAAGGUGGGGACUCUGGCGAGACUGCCCAGAUCAACUGGGAGGAAGGUGGGGACGACGUCAGGUCAGUAUGGCCCUUAUGCCCAGGGCUGCACACGUACUACAAUGCCCAGUACAGAGGGGGCCGAAGCCGCGAGGCGGAGGAAAUCCUGAAAACUGGGCCCAGUUCGGACUGUAGGCUGCAACCCGCCUACACGAAGCCGGAAUCGCUAGUAAUGGCGCAUCAGCUACGGCGCCGUGAAUACGUUCCCGGGUCUUGUACACACCGCCCGUCACAUCAUGGAAGCCGGUCGCACCCGAAGUAUCUGAAGCCAACCGCAAGGAGGCAGGGUCCUAAGGUGAGACUGGUAACUGGGAUG